GACGAACGCUGGCGGCGUGCUUAACACAUGCAAGUCGAACGCUGAAGCACCAGCUUGCUGGUGUGGAUGAGUGGCGAACGGGUGAGUAAUACGUGAGUAACCUGCCCUUGACUCUGGGAUAAGCCCGGGAAACUGGGUCUAAUACUGGAUGCUACAUGUCACCGCAUGGUGGUGUGUGGAAAGGGUUUACUGGUCUUGGAUGGGCUCACGGCCUAUCAGCUUGUUGGUGAGGUAAUGGUUCACCAAGGCGACGACGGGUAGCCGGCCUGAGAGGGUGACCGGACACACUGGGACUGAGACACGGCCCAGACUCCUACGGGAGGCAGCAGUGGGGAAUAUUGCACAAUGGGCGAAAGCCUGAUGCAGCGACGCCGCGUGAGGGAUGACGGCCUUCGGGUUGUAAACCUCUUUCAGCAGGGAAGAAGCCACAAGUGACGGUACCUGCAGAAGAAGCGCCGGCUAACUACGUGC
rnacentral:rRNA from 1 species